rnacentral:lncRNA from 1 species
GGGCCUCCUUUGGGGAUGAAUUCUCUCGCCAAAAUAACUUCAACGCUCUUCUCCUUCCUUCACUCACAUGGACUUAACAUUCGGGAUAUCUACCCUUUAUGUUCUAUGGCUUCCGAUUCAUUACUACAUAUCUUUUAGGGGUUAGUGAUGGACCGAUUAAGUAAUGAAUAAAUAAAAAAUAGUGAAAGAAAUUAAAAAAUUGAAUACACAAAUUUAAUUUGAAAAAGAGGAUAAGAAAAC